rnacentral:rRNA from 1 species
GUAGUCCAUGCCGUAAACGUUGGGCACUAGGUGUGGGGUCCAUUCCACGGAUUCUGCGCCGUAGCUAACGCAUUAAGUGCCCCGCCUGGGGAGUACGGCCGCAAGGCUAAAACUCAAAGGAAUUGACGGGGGCCCGCACAAGCGGCGGAGCAUGCGGAUUAAUUCGAUGCAACGCGAAGAACCUUACCAAGGCUUGACAUGCACUAGACCAUCGCAGAGAUGUGGUUUUCUUUUUGACUGGUGUACAGGUGGUGCAUGGUUGUCGUCAGCUCGUGUCGUGAGAUGUUGGGCUAAGUCCCGCAACGAGCGCAACCCUCGUUCUAUGUUGCCAGCACGUGAUGGUGGGAACUCAUGGGAGACUGCCGGGGUCAACUCGGA